rnacentral:rRNA from 1 species
GAUGAACGCUGGCGGCGUGCAUAACACAUUCAAGUCGAACGGACGAGACCCUUCGGGGUCGCGUUAGUGGUGGACGGGUGAGUAACGCGUGAGCAACCUGCCUUUCAAGCCGGGAUAACACAGGGAAACGUGUGCUAUUACCGUAUAAUAUACUUGUAAUGCAGGUUUAAAGUAUCCAAGGUGCAACCCGAUGAAAGAUGGGCUCGCGUCUGAUUAGGUAGUUGGUGUAGGUCACGGCUCACCAAGCCGACGAUCAGGAGACGGACUGAGAGGUUGAACGACCACAUUGGAACUGAGAAACGGUCCAGACUCCUGCGGGAGGCAGCAGUGGGGAAUAUUGGGCAAUGGGGGAAACCCUGACCCAGCGACGCCGCGUGAAGGAAGAAGGUCUUCGGAGUGGAAACUUUAGUCAACAGGGACGAACAAAUGACGGUACCUGUGGAGGAAGCCACGGCUAACUACGUGCCAGCAGCCGCUGUAACAC